AUAACAAUACAGGACUCUUUAGAGGCCCUGUAAUUGUAAUGAGUCCACUUGAAAUCCUUUAACUCUGAUCAAUUGGAGGGCAAGUCUGGUGCAGAGCAACUGACCCAUGCGUGCUGCAGCUGAAACGCCACUAUCACCUGCUGCUGCUCGCACAGUCUCUCCAUUAUGUGCAAGGUGGAGUUCCACCUUGUGGGCACGUCGCAUAUGAGGCGGUGAGCGGGAAGUCCAGCAGCAG